rnacentral:rRNA from 1 species
CACCAGCGCCACAAGUGGCAACCGCUUUUAUUGGGCCUAAAGCGUUCGUAGCCGGCUUAGCAAAUUUUCUGUGAAAUCGUUGAACUCAAUUUAACGACGCGCAGGAAACACUACUAAGCUAGGGACCGGGAGGCGUCAGAGGUAUUCUGGAGGGAGCGGUAAAAUGCUAUAAUCUCCAGAGGACCCCCUGUGGCGAAGGCGUCUGACGAGAACGGAUCCGACGGUGAGGGACGAAAGCCAGGGGAGCGAACCGG